UACGUAGGGUGCAAGCGUUGUCCGGAAUUAUUGGGCGUAAAGAGCUUGUAGGCGGUCUGUCGCGUCUGCUGUGAAAUUUCGGGGCUCAACCCCGAACUUGCAGUGGGUACGGGCAGACUAGAGUGUGGUAGGGGAGACUGGAAUUCCUGGUGUAGCGGUGAAAUGCGCAGAUAUCAGGAGGAACACCGAUGGCGAAGGCAGGUCUCUGGGCCAUAACUGACGCUGAGAAGCGAAAGCAUGGGGAGCGAACAGG
rnacentral:rRNA from 1 species